CCUACGGGAGGCAGCAGUGAGGAAUAUUGGUCAAUGGCCGGAAGGCUGAACCAGCCAUGCCGCGUGAAGGUCAGUGCCCUAUGGGCGUUAAACUUCUUUUGUGCGGGAGCAAUAAUGGUCACGUGUGGCCAGACGAGAGUACCGUACGAAUAAGCAUCGGCUAACUCCGUGCCAGCAGCCGCGGUAAUACGGGGGAUGCAAGCGUUAUCCGGAUUUAUUGGGUUUAAAGGGUGCGUAGGCUGUGAGGUAAGUCAGCGGUGAAAUGCCCCCGCUCAACGGGGUGAAGUGCCAUUGAUACUGCCUUGCUGGAAUGCGGAUGCCGUAGGAGGAAUGUGUGGUGUAGCGGUGAAAUGCAUAGAUAUCACACAGAACACCGAUUGCGAAGGCAGCUCACGAAUCCGCGAUUGACGCUGAGGCACGAAAGCGUGGGUAUCAAACAGGAUUAGAUACCCCAGUAGUC
rnacentral:rRNA from 1 species